GACGUAGGGGGCCAGCGUUGCUCGGAAUUACUGGGCGUAAAGGGUUCGUAGGCGGUGCGGCAAGUCGGAAGUGAAAUCUCUGGGCUUAACUCAGAGGCUGCUCCCGAAACUGCCGUGCUUGAGUGCGGGAGAGGCGAGUGGAAUUGCAGGUGUAGCGGUGAAAUGCGUAGAUAUCUGCAGGAACACCCGUGGCGAAGGCGGCUCGCUGGACCGCAACUGACGCUGAGGAACGAAAGCGUGGGGAGCAAACAGG
rnacentral:rRNA from 1 species